rnacentral:rRNA from 1 species
AUUGAACGCUGACGGCAUGCCUUACACAUGCAAGUCGAACGGUAACAGGUCUUCGGAUGCUGACGAGUGGCGAACGGGUGAGUAAUACAUCGGAACGUGCCCGAGAGUGGGGGAUAACGAAGCGAAAGCUUUGCUAAUACCGCAUACGAUCUCAGGAUGAAAGCAGGGGACCGCAAGGCCUUGCGCUCACGGAGCGGCCGAUGGCAGAUUAGGUAGUUGGUGGGAUAAAAGCUUACCAAGCCGACGAUCUGUAGCUGGUCUGAGAGGACGACCAGCCACACUGGGACUGAGACACGGCCCAGACUCCUACGGGAGGCAGCAGUGGGGAAUUUUGGACAAUGGGCGCAAGCCUGAUUCAGCCAUGCCGCGUGCAGGAUGAAGGCCUUCGGGUUGUAAACUGCUUUUGUACGGAACGAAAAGACUCUGGUUAAUACCUGGGGUCCAUGACGGUACCGUAAGAAUAAGCACCGGCUAACUACGUGCCAGCAGCCGCGGUAA